GGACAUGCGGAUAGCUCAGUUGCUUAGAGUGUGUUACUGAUGAUGUCAAGGUUGCAGGUUUGAUCCCCGUGCAGUGCU